rnacentral:rRNA from 1 species
GAUGAACGCUGGCGGCGUGCUUAACACAUGCAAGUCGAACGAAGCACUUUAUUUGAUUUCCUUCGGGACUGAUUAUUUUGUGACUGAGUGGCGGACGGGUGAGUAACGCGUGGGUAACCUGCCUUGUACAGGGGGAUAACAGUUGGAAACGGCUGCUAAUACCGCAUAAGCGCACAGCAUCGCAUGAUGCAGUGUGGAAAACUCCGGCGGUAUAAGAUGGACCCGCGUUGGAUUAGCUAGUCGGUGAGGUAACGGCCCACCAAGGCGACGAUGCAUAGCCGAGCUGGGAGGGUGACCGACCACAUUGGGAAUGAGACACGGCCCACACUCCGACGGGAGGCAGCAGUAGGGAAUAUUGCACAAUGGGCGAAAGCCUGAUGCAGCGACGCCGCGUGAGCGAAGAAGUAUUUCGGUAUGUAAAGCUCUAUCAGCAGGGAAGAUAAUGACGGUAACUGACUAAGAAGCACCGGCUAAAUACGUG